rnacentral:rRNA from 1 species
GCUGCAACUGUUUAUUAAAAACACAGCACUGUGCAAAAUCGUAAGAUGACGUAUACGGUGUGACGCCUGCCCGGUGCCGGAAGGUUAAUUGAUGGGGUUAGACUUCGGUCGAAGCUCUUGAUCGAAGCCCCGGUAAACGGCGGCCGUAACUAUAACGGUCCUAAGGUAGCGAAAUUCCUUGUCGGGUAAGUUCCGACCUGCACGAAUGGCGUAAUGAUGGCCACGCUGUCUCCACCCGAGACUCAGUGAAAUUGAAAUCGCUGUGAAGAUGCAGUGUACCCGCGGCUAGACGGAAAGACCCCGUGAACCUUUACUACAGCUUGGCACUGAACAUUGACCCUACAUGUGUAGGAUAGGUGGGAGGCUUUGAAGCACGUACGCCAGUAUGUGUGGAGCCGUCCUUGAAAUACCACCCUUGUAGUGUUGAUGUUCUAACGUUGACCCCUUAUCGGGGUUGCGGACAGUGCCUGGUGGGUAGUUUGACUGGGGCGGUCUCCUCCCAAAGAGUAACGGAGGAGCACGAAGGUGGGCUAAUCACGGUUGGACAUCGUGAGGUUAGUGCAAUGGCAUAAGCCCGCUUGACUGCGAGAAUGACAAUUCGAGCAGGUGCGAAAGCAGGUCAUAGUGAUCCGGUGGUUCUGAAUGGAAGGGCCAUCGCUCAACGGAUAAAAGGUACUCCGGGGAUAACAGGCUGAUACCGCCCAAGAGUUCAUAUCGACGGCGGUGUUUGGCACCUCGAUGUCGGCUCAUCACAUCCUGGGGCUGAAGUCGGUCCCAAGGGUAUGGCUGUUCGCCAUUUAAAGUGGUACGCGAGCUGGGUUUAGAACGUCGUGAGACAGUUCGGUCCCUAUCUGCCGUGGGCGUUGGAAGAUUGAAGGGGGCUGCUCCUAGUACGAGAGGACCGGAGUGGACGAACCUCUGGUGUUCGGGUUGUGUCGCCAGACGCAUUGCCCGGUAGCUAAGUUCGGAAUCGAUAACCGCUGAAAGCAUCUAAGCGGGAAGCGAGCCCUGAGAUGAGUCUUCCCUGAUACUUUAAGUAUCCUAAAGGGUUGUCGGAGACUACGACGUUGAUAGGUCAGGUGUGUAAGUGCUGUGAGGCAUUGAGCUAACUGAUACUAAUUGCCCGUGAGGCUUAACCAUACAACAC